AUUUUCCCCUAAUAAACGUACGCGUGGACCCCACCACAAAAACCGUCUGUGACUCCGCAGAGGAAUGCUCGUUUCCCUCUCGGUGGUGUCUCUGAGCUCUAGGCUCCAGUCUUUGCUUCUCCCGGAAAAUACUAUUCCGUUUUUGGACGAUCGUCUUCGACAGUUCUUGCACGUGACGCUGUCCAUUCAAGUAAACGAGUAGAGGUUUAGACCGAUGAAUAUAUUCUGUGCAAGUGCGGGUUGAUGGCUGCCUUCGAUGAUCAAGAAUUUUUACGCCGCGAAUUUAAUAUUUCUUUGAAUUUUUACGUUAUAAAAGUGGUGAAAUUAUAAGGAAUUGUACUUAAAUUGGUGACGGUUGUGAUAGUAAUGGAUUCUUAAUACACGGUUUCAGUCCCCAUUUUUGGGUUACAAA